rnacentral:lncRNA from 1 species
GACUAGUAACGAAUAGAAUUCCAUUUGAGAUUAAUCCAUCCCUCUUGACACGGUAAUCAACUAAUAUGCAUUUUAACAACAAUUCAACCAUGGAACCCGUAGCUUUUUUUGAGACGGUUUGAACAAAUAUGUAGCACAGUGGGAUAUGCUAGAGUUUUAGAAGAAGCAAUCAAGUUACUGUUGAUUCCUUUUUCCCUUGGAUGUUAGAUAUGAGAAUGGUUAGAAGCAUUACCUUC